rnacentral:piRNA from 5 species
CUUCUGGGUCGGGGUUUCGUACGUA